rnacentral:rRNA from 1 species
GACGAACGCUGGCGGCGUGCUUAACACAUGCAAGUCGAACGGGCCCGCUCUCUUUUUUGGGGGUGGGUUGAGUGGCGAACGGGUGAGUAUCACGUGAGUAACCUGCCCCCUGCUCCUGGAUAACUGCUUGAAAGGGCGGCUAAUACGGGGUGUGCCGGCUGGUCCGCAUGGGCCUGGUCGGGAUAGUUUCAUCUUCGGGUGUUUCGGUGGGGGAUGGGCUCGCGGCCUAUCAGCUUGUUGGUGGGGUGAUGGCCCACCAAGGCGGUGACGGGUAGCCGGCCUGAGAGGGUGGGCGGCCACACUGGGACUGAGACACGGCCCAGACUACUGCGGGAGGCAGCAGUGGGGGGUAUUGCACAAUGGGCGGAAGCCUGAUGCAGCGACGUCGCGUGAGGGAUGGAGGCCUUCGGGUGGUGAACCUCUUUCUCCGGUGGUGAAGGCCCUGUCCGUUGCGGCGGGGUUGACGGUAGCCGGGUAUGAAGCGCCGGCUAACUACGUG